rnacentral:rRNA from 1 species
AUUGAACGCUGGCGGCAGGCCUAACACAUGCAAGUCGAACGGUAACAGGAAGAAGCUUGCUUCUUUGCUGACGAGUGGCGGACGGGUGAGUAAUGUCUGGGAAACUGCCUGAUGGAGGGGGAUAACUACUGGAAACGGUAGCUAAUACCGCAUAAUGUCGCAAGACCAAAGAGGGGGACCUUCGGGCCUCUUGCCAUCGGAUGUGCCCGGAUGGGAUUAGCUAGUAGGUGGGGUAACGGCUCACCUAGGCGACGAUCCCUAGCUGGUCUGAGAGGUUGACCAGCCAAACGGGACUGAGGGCCCGUCCAGAGUCCGAGAGGAGGGAGGAAGUGGGAAUAAUGGACAAAGGGGCGAAGGCCGGAGGAAGCUUGGCGGCGGGAUGGAGAAAGGCCUCGGGGUGGAAAAGGCUUUUCAGGGGGGAGGAGGGAGUAAAGUUUAAUACUUUUGUCCAUGACGGUUCCCGGCAAAAGAGCAACGGCUAACUCCGUG